rnacentral:rRNA from 1 species
AGUGAACGCUGGCGGUAGGCCUAACACAUGCAAGUCGAACGGCAGCACAGGAGAGCUUGCUCUCUGGGUGGCGAGUGGCGGACGGGUGAGGAAUACAUCGGAAUCUACUCUGUCGUGGGGGAUACCGUAGGGAAACUUACGCUAAUACCGCAUACGACCUACGGGUGAAAGCAGGGGACCUUCGGGCCUUGCGCGAUUGAAUGCGCGGAUGUCGGAGUAGCUGGUUGGGGGGGUAAAGGCCAACCAUGGCGACGAUCCGUAGCUGGUCGGAGAGGAUGAUCAGCCACACUGGAAAUGAGACACGGUCCAGACUCCUACGGGAGGCAGCAGUGGGGAAUAUUGGACAAUGGGCGCAAGCCUGAUCCAGCCAUACCGCGUGGGUGAAGAAGGCCUUCGGGUUGUAAAGCCCUUUUGUUGGGAAAGAAAUCCAGCUGGCUAAUACCCGGUUGGGAUGACGGUACCCAAAGAAUAAGCACCGGCUAACUUCGUGCCAGCCGCCGCAGUAA